GGGCAGUGGCCGCUGGGGGGUUGUCGCUUGGCGCCGCGCGCAGUCCCUAGCGCAACAUGCAGGAUCUUCCCGGCCUGACUGCUGCACCUCGAUCUGUUUUCGUCUCCUAUUCCAAGCAAGUAGCCAGGCUAAUUGCCGCCUUACUUCAGGGAAGUCUGUGGCAGAAGCUUGAAAGCAAAUGACCUACUACACCUGCUUGUGUCCUGGUCUUCAAGAGCUUGGGUUCCUGAAGUGGAUUAUGCUGGAGGAACACAGGUAGAAGCAGAAGUAACAAAGGAGAGAAGGAGACUGCCCUACUGCCCUAUACCAGGAAGGUGUGGUGGUUUCCACAAUCAUCAAGGGGCCUGUGUCCUACUUCUAGCAGAACCUGGGGAAGAAGACAAGGAUUCUGCGGAGCCUAACUGUGUGGUGAAGCUAGGGAGGCUGUACCCUUGGCAACAGGGCUUCCAUUGUGAAGAAAGAUGCCUGCAGGCCAAGAAGAGCAGAGAAACAGAGUCACUGCCAUUCAACAGUUCAUGACAACUUCAACAAUAGGGCCACCAUAAUGAGCCAAAAAUUAGGAGCAAUUCUCCUGUGUUUUAAGGAACCACAAAGUCUCUGAGAGACUGAAGAAGAGAGAACACCCAAAUGACAAAUUAAAUUUACCUCCAGCAAGGUGGGAUUAAGGCUCACAGAAAUAUCCAGCACACUCUCCUCACAUCUACUGGGGUCCAAGGCCUCAACAGCACAGUCUCCUCAACCUGCUGCUCCAGACAUUUCGCUUUUCUUCCUCUGCUUGAAUCCUACAAUCGCAAUGCUUUCCUGCCUCUGUGUUUGCUUGGAAUUUUUUGUCCUUUGGCAAUUUAAUGCUUGUAUUCAUCCAUUUAAUAAUAAGUGCCCAUCUUUUCUAUCUUCAAAUACUUGCCCUUCAUAAGGUUCUCCCUGACCCCUCUGAAAAGCCAUAAUUUCCUCCUUUACAUCUCCAAGUUUUGUACUUCUCUUGGGACAUUUACCCUGUACUACUUUUUGUUAUCAUUUCACAUCUGCUCCUCCCAACAUCUUAAACAUUUAUUGAACAUCUACUAAGCAUCCUAAAGACAGUGACUGUUUCCCAAGUACCUAGCAUAACACCAUAUGCCAUUGACCUUAGGACACUAAACUGAACAGAGCACAGAGCCUGUCCUCAAAGUUCUCAAAGUCUAUGUAUCAUGCUCAGGGAUCACAGGAUUGUAUGUAGUAACUUCUCAGCCUUUGUUGAUCUUGAUUGUCAGCACUUUAAAGCUCCAUUCAGCUACUUAUGUAAAAUUUAAGCAAAAUGAGGAAGAUAAUUUCGUUGGAGAGAAAGCUUCUGGAUGCUUCAGAAUAUGCCACCUCACCUGAAUGGUAACCAUUACACUUGUAAAUAAGAUAAAAUAGCAAGAAAAAUAUAAACAUAUGCUUUGAUUAU
ensembl:lncRNA novel transcript